UUCCAGACUCCUACGGGAGGCAGCAGUGAGGAAUAUUGGUCAAUGGUCGGGAGACUGAACCAGCCAAGCCGCGUGAGGGAUGAAGGUACAGAGUAUCGUAAACCUCUUUUGUCAGGGAACAAAGGCGGGGACGCGUCCCCGGAUGAGUGUACCUGAAGAAAAAGCAUCGGCUAACUCCGUGCCAGCAGCCGCGGUAAUACGGAGGAUGCGAGCGUUAUCCGGAUUUAUUGGGUUUAAAGGGUGCGUAGGCGGACAGUCAAGUCAGCGGUAAAAAUGCGGUGCUCAACGCCGUACAGCCGUUGAAACUGGCAGUCUUGAGUGGGCGAGAAGUAUGCGGAAUGCGUGGUGUAGCGGUGAAAUGCAUAGAUAUCACGCAGAACUCCGAUUGCGAAGGCAGCAUACCGGCGCCCAACUGACGCUGAAGCACGAAAGCGUGGGUAUCGAACAGGAUUAGAUACCCGGGUAGA
rnacentral:rRNA from 1 species